rnacentral:rRNA from 1 species
UACGGGGGGGGCAAGCGUUGUUCGGAAUUACUGGGCGUAAAGGGCUUGUAGGUGGCCAACUAAGUCAGACGUGAAAUCCCUCGGCUUAACCGGGGAACUGCGUCUGAUACUGGAUGGCUUGAGUGUGGGAGAGGGAUGCGGAAUUCCAGGUGUAGCGGUGAAAUGCGUAGAUAUCUGGAGGAACACCGGUGGCGAAGGCGGCAUCCUGGACCAUUACUGACACUGAGGUACGAAAGCGUGGGUAGCAAACAGG